CAAAUUAACGAACCGGUUUCAAAAAAUUCAUAUCAUGUUUUUGUCGCCUUUGUAUGUAGAAUAUACAAUGCGCCAAUAAAAACCAGUUUGAAUUUUUUGACCAAACCGAGUUUUCAAUUUGUGGACACCCUGUGCAUGGACCUGAAAUUUCCAAGGUUGCUUUUGAAAGUCCUUAUUUUUCCCUACUCAACGCCGCUUAUCAUUCAUCUCUCUAGCUCUUUCCACUUGGAAAUAAAAGCCACCGGGCACUACUUCUGUGUCAUACUGUAGAUAAUCGGUAGAUAAAUUUCGAUGGUCAUUUAACUACUCUUGGCGAUUUUCGUUGAGAUACAUCUCCUGAUGAGACUUGCACAUUCUCAUUCGAUGAAUUACUUUGUGCAUGUACAACCGAGUUGGUUUUACAGACACUUACGAACAAUAUUGGGUUCUUACGUUACUUCCCUUUUUACUAGGCAUAGAUACAUCUUUAACUUUAUCAGUUUUAUCUUUGGGUAAAUUUUCAACUAAAAAUUGACCGCUGGUCUUUGAACUUGAUAUAAAAAUGGAUUCAGCGACCCCAAAAUACCCCCAUUUUCCAAUGGUCAGUCAAAAUGUGUCAUUUUUCACGCUCUGCAACUUCUGUUUCAAGUUUUUUUUCCAUCUUUCAUAAAUCACCUAAUGUUCCGUGUCUACUGUCUACAAAACCAAACCAACCUACAUAUAAUGUACAUUAUCUGUAACAUCCGAAAAAAUGUUUGCCAACGGCCAUAAACAACUCCAAACCUGAUAAAUUUCAAAAGGUAACUUGGUGUAACGCGCUAUCAUAGAUGUCGUGUCAAGUGCCAUAGUGCCAUGUCACAACAAAACUACUCUUUUUACUCAGUGGCGGCGAUCUGUAAAUUUUCCGGAGUAGUGCUCAUGCUGAAUUAAACGAUAAAGCCAGAACUGUCUACUCAGGACCCCCCCUUCCAGAUUUUUCCAUCUAAUUGGAUAGCUGUGGUUCGAGGUUCAACGUUCAGAUUAUUUUUUUAAAAAAGGGAACUUUGAAACGAAAUGUCGAAUAAAAAAUUGAUUAAAAUUUUUUCAAUGAUCGGAUUAUGUUUUCGGAAUUUCUUCAGUAGAAUUUUUUCAUUGUAGAAAUAUUUGAAAAUUGUUACAGUAGAAUUCAAAUCUGUCCGAGCAAAUCGAGGGCAAAAGCUGUGAAAAAUUGAUAAUUCAAAACAUAAAACAAAAACAACGCUACUGCUAUAGAAACGUGCUACAGCCUAACCCAUAAGUCAUUUAUAUGUAGAUUACUUACUGAUUGAUUUUGACUAAAAAAUGUAUAAUUAACAAAGUGUCUCUGAAACUAAAAAAAUUACAAAAUUAGAAGUUUUCGCUCUAUGAAUACCUGACUAACUGAAUUUGCUAGAAAGACCUACCUCAAAAUGUCAUAUAAAUUUUUGGUGUAGGUACAUUAGAAAAGUGCGAAUGGUAUUGUUUCAUCGAAGCUGAUGGAUAUUUACAGACAGCACAUAAAAUGUGAUUUUGAUUUUUUCUGGUUUUCAUCUCUGUAAGAAAUAGAAUAGUAGGACAAAGAGCUUAUGAUGACUAUGAUGAGUUUUUCCCAUCCUACAUGAUUUUUCGAAGUACCUUAACGCUUUACCAUCACUAUCAUUUUUUGUUCAUUCAUACAGAGCUGCGAAUGCUUGAUCAAGUUUUUUUUAUGUUUAAAUGUAUGACCACAGCGAUCACACGUUAUUGAAGUUGUAGGUAUUAUUUUCCAUCUUACAAAUUUUUUACUGCGAUUUUAAUAUAUUUAAUUACUUAAAAAACUUGAAGAGAUACAGAGAUAGAACACAAGACAGAGAUAAAGAUUAUUGUUUAUUUACAUGAACGCUGUACUUAUGACAGCCAUUUUGCAGGACCUAUUUCUCAAAUGAAGUGUAGCUCCAGAAGACUACUUUAAAAACAUGCUAGGCAUGUAUACGUAGUAUCUACUAAUAAAUUUCCAGUAAAAAAGAAAAUGAAAUAAAAACGUAAAAAAAGGCCAAUCCGUAUUCCCUAAAGUUACUAAUAUCAAGAGAACUUUGAAUGGGGGUCUGGUGAAAAACGAAUAAAUGUAAAUGUGAAUUUAUGUUGCUGAGAGAGCUUUUUUACAUGAAUAUUGCAAAAUCACGUUGGGAAUCCUAAAACAACAUUUUUGAUACCUAAUUCAGUUUUUAGAAAUGAAAAUUCACAAAAAAUAGUAAUUUAUCAUCUGGUGAUUUCUCAGGCCAGCACUUUGCUGUUUUUUGAAUGCGAUUUUCAGACAGCUUGUGGAAUAGAUUACUGAGAGUUGGAAAGCAGGAAUGGCAUAAAAUUAUGUUUCAUUUUUAAUUUCUUAUAUCCAAUUUUUCGUCUCAUUAACAAGUUUUGUGCGGUAGAAAACUGGUAUCAAAACUCAAUUAAUAAGAUUAGAGAGCUGAGAUGAAUUUGAGUUUUUUUCAGGAUGUGUACCUGAAAAAAAUCAAAUUGUCUCAUCGAAAUUUUUUUAUGAGAAAAGAAGAGAUGCAGGAAUUCAUAGAAGAGCUAGAAAAAUGAGGCUUUUUAAGGUAGCUCAGCAGUUAUAUGAGUAUUUAACGAUGUGAUGAUGAAAUAGAGGAAUUUUUUUCAAAUGUUUCGAUUCAGUAAUUAUUCUAAUUUGAAUGUCUUUCAUUAGGAAAACGUUAUUUCGAAGAAAAAACAAAAUAAAAAAAAAAUUGAGAAAAACGAAAAAAAAUCACUGCUCAAGCUGAUAAAUUGAAUUUAAAUAAUAUUAAUGAACACGGGAAAAAAAUGAAAAAAUGUUUAAGCAACACAAAAAUAAGAGUACAAAAAAAGUGGAAAAAAAUAAAAAAAAACACUUCAAAAGCUGAUAAAUUGAAUUUAAAUAACAUUAAUGAACACGAAAAAAAAUGAAAAAAUGCUCAAACAACACAAAAAUAAGAGUAAAAAAAUUCAAUAAAUACAUAUUUUAAAAAAAAAUUAUUCCCUUUAGCUAAAUUAUAAGCAAGUAAGUAUUUAUUUUGAUAUUUUAAAGAACGUCAAAAACUUGAAGAAUUACUUUAAAAGUCAAGAGUCAUGAUUCAAACUAUUUUAUCUUCUUCAAAAAAAUGAUUAUCACAAAAUUUUAAACGACUUUUUGUUGAUUUUCCUCCAACUUGUCAACUUUCAAUAAAAAUUCAAUUAUUUUCAAUGAAUUUCUAGUUCUCUGAAAAAAUUACUCACAAUAAACAUACCUACUUCACGAGCAGUAAAAAAUUCAAGUUUCAACUGGUUUCAAUACAUAAAUGGAUUUUGAAAAAAUACUAAAAUAAGUUUUCAACCUAUAUAUUCAACUUGUGUUUCAAAGUGGAAAAAGUUUAAACAUUUUCUUGUGGUAUGUUUUAUUCACCUUCGAUUUUCAAAAAAAAAAAAUUGUUUUUUGACAAAGAAAAAAAAGAAAUAGUUUCUCAAAAUUGAAUAAAUUGUACUAGGCAAGUAUUUUCAUUUUAUUUUUAACACCUGUGAUGUUCAAAAUUUUUUCUGUUCAAAACAUCAAAACAAAAGUGAAGACAAAAAAAAUUCAAGUUUUUCUUAUGAAACAUGUCUUAAAAGUGUUUAAAACUGUUUUAAACAGAUUUUAACCCCCUCUUUCUCCUCUACCAAAGAGGAUUUCAAGCCAAGAAAAUCAUACUUCUUGUUAUUUCUCGAACUUUUUUUUAAAAAAUUUUACUUCUUUAAGAAAGAAAAUUCAUAAAUUUGAAUUUAAAAUAUAUACCAAAUUCAAGUCUUAAUUUCUUAUGCAGUUUAUGUGUCUAGAUAAAAUGCAAAACUGACGUUACAAGAAAUCACAAGCUGAACGAAAACUAAGCAAAAUAUUAUAGAAAAAGUGGAGGAAAAAGUACGAUGGUAAUUCCUCAGUCACAGCUCGUUUCAAUUCAAACACAUUGAAAUCAUUCAGAAUUUUUUAGAAAACAAUGUUUCAAAGUUGAUCUUGGAAUUGAGAAAACCUGUUUUAAAAAGUUCAAGGACAAAAAAUAUAAUGCAUCAGUUGAAAAUUUCCAAGAAAUCAUAAAUAUUUCAAAUAAAAAAACAAGAAUGCGAUGUCCUUGAGAAUUUUAUUCAUCCUUCAGCUGUCUCUGUGAGUAUUAAAAAUGUAGGUAAUAAUCAAAAAAUGCUUGAAAUAAAUUUCGAAAAAGUAAAUGAAAAUAAAAAUUUAUACAGAAUUUUUCAGAUAAAAUAUCAUUUAUGAUACACUUACCACUUGUAUUUCGACUGAAGUGAUAACUUUAAUGUCGAUUCAUGUCCACUAUGUAAUUAUUAUUAUUUUCAAUGAAUUUCUAGUUCUCAGAAAAAAUUACUCACAAUAAACAUACCUACUUAACGAACAGUAAAAAAUUCUAGUUUCAACUGGUUUCAAUACAUAAACGGAUUUUGAAAAAAUUCUAAAAUAAGUUUUCAAGUGUUCUAACUACUCGUACUAAGCGCACUACCGAUAUAUAAGAGCAACCAGAAAACAUACUGGUGUUUGUUGGUAUAAAUAGAAUCAAGAGUUUGAACAAGAUCCUAAAAAUUUUACAAUUUAUAAGUAAGUAGCUUAGUUAGUCCGGCAUAUGACAAUAGGAGUAAUUGCACCCCAGCCUCACCUGUCAAAAUUUCAAAAGCGUUUUUCGAUUUUUGGUGAAUUUUUGAAAAUCCAAUUUAGGCCAAAAAUGAGGGAAAAAUCAAAAUUAUACCAAAUUGACCAAGAAAACUGAAAUUUGGGAUGUACCUACCCUAUUUUCGACACUGGAGGUUCCAGUAAUGUUCAAAAAAGUCGCAGGAGGCUCUAACAUGACUUGAAUCCACCUGAAGUCGUCUUCAGAGGGUGUCAAAAUAUUGGAGUGUAGAGAAAAUGUUAGCUUUCCCAUCUCCAUUUUGAUGAAAUUUUGUGAAAAUUUAAAGUUUCAAAAAUCUGCUGGAGGCUCCAAAACGACUUAAAAUUCACCUGCAGUACUUCGUAGCGUAUUGAAAUUAGUUUUUAGAAUAAAUUUCAGCUUUACAACACCAAUUUGAUGGAAUUUUGUGAGAAUUUCGAGUUUCAAAAAUCUGCUGGAGGCUCCAGAACUGCUCAAAACGGGUUGAAACCGUUUCCAAUCGAUUUGGCAUGUCGAAAAUAGGGUAGGUAUAUUCCAAAUUUCAGCUUGCUUGGUCAAUUUGGUAUAAUUUUGAUUUUUUCCCUCAUUUUUGGCCUAAAUUGGAUUUUUAAAAUUUCUCCAAAAAUCGAAAAACCCACUUUAGCACUUGAAAUUUUGGCAGGUGAUAAAUUUUUUCUUGAUCUUUUGAUCUACUUUUGUAAGGUUUGAAAAAUUUCGUGCAAGUUCUAUGUUGAAACGAAAAAUCUGCGAUUUCGGCUGACCUGUCAAUCAAAAUGGUAAGUGAGGCCAACUUUUUUUGGGCAAGUUUGCUUUAAAAUGUUCCUUAGGAUGUCCCCUUUAAGAAAAAUGUUAUCCCGGAGGAUCGGCGGGGAGGGGGUGCAAUUACUCCCAUUGUCAUAUGCCGGACUAAGUAGCUCAUUUAUUUAUGGAGCCAGGGUUAUAAUGUAGGUGAAUUAGCAUUAAACAAAAUUUUACCUAUCCAAAAUUUUUUUGCGGGAAAUUGUGGAGGGUGACCCCCUGAAUAAUUCCUAACAGUUAGCACUUCGUACCCGUCUAGCUAAUUUUUUCCCCACAAUGGUUUUUUUGGAGUUUUCUUCUCAAGGGUUGAUUUUACGUCGAAAAUACCUUCAUACUUUUGUGUUCUACGUCAAAUUUUCGAUCUAGUGAUAUAUCAACUGUCCUUCUACCCCCAGGAGGGGCUAGAAGUUUUUUUUAGAAGACCCCUCUCAUUUGAAUAGUUCUAGCUCCCCCUGGGGGUAGAAGGACAGUUGAUAUAUCAGUAGAUCGGAAAUUUGCGUAGAAUAGAACACAAAAGUAUGAAGUUAUUUUCGACGUAAAAUCAGCCCCUGAGGAGAAAACUCCUAAAAAACCAUUUUGGGAACAAAAUGAGCAAGAGGGGCACGGGGUCAACCUCCACAUUUUUUCGCAAAAAAUCUUGGCUAGGUAAAAAUGUUUUUUUUUUUUGUGAUUUUUCACUCAAUUCGCCCAUACUAUUGCCUAUACCUAGGUACAAUAUAGGUAUUGUAUUUUCAAACUGGUUUUUUUUUUCAAUUAAUACGUUCUUCUUAUGGUUUGAUUGAGCCCUUACAUCAGCACAGACUGUCCCUACAAAUAGAUGAAAGAUCCCUAUUCAUACCAGACGACCCUUCCAAAAUUAAAAAAUUCUUAAACCUAAUUAAAAAACUUGACCUUACCAACUCGAUUUAAAUCUCAUACAACGGGUGUAAUAAUCAAGUAAUUACAAACACCCAAAAAAAUAAAUAAAUAAAAAAAAAUAACAAACGACUUUAUGAAGGUAUUUUCAUUCACAGAUUUAUGUAAGUACACUUUGAAUAGUGAGUUCUCGAAAUUUUUAGUGAGCACAUGAGUGUUUCAAAAUGUUCAGAAUUUUAUUCUGUACCCAAAGGCUCACUCAGCGUUUUUUGUUCAAAAUUCAUUAAAGCUCUAAUUUUUAAACUAUUCUGAACAGGAUAAAAAUACAAUUUUGAACAUUUUUGAUUUAGGUAUUUUAAAACACCUAAGUAUGUUUUCACUAAAAAUUUCGAGAAAUUUCAAUUCAAAAUAUACUUACAUAACAAUUUAUCCAUGAAUGAAAAUACUUACUACGUAUAUAAAGUCGUUGUUUUUGCAAUUCUGCACGAAAACAAACCAUUCGACGAGAAAUUUCAUUUUAAUUAAGAAAAGUCAUCAUCGAAAUUUAUGCAAAUUCACUUAUUCGUCUUAUUCAGCUAUUCCUACCAAUAAGAAUUAAUCAAGUCGAAAAACAGAAUUUCUCCCAUACAUUCGAUUCAUGUAUCACAGAUUCAUCUACAUCCCAAAUUUACCAUUAAUCAAUUCAGAGCAUCUUAUUGCUGAAAUGGAAUUUGUGUUAAUUCUCUAUGGAUGUUUCAUUUCUGUCGUGGCAUUAUUUUACACACUCUAUCAACAGGGAACGGAUCGAGUCUCAAAAACUUUUGCAAAAUUAAAUUAUUACACAUGGGGUAUCCAGGUAAAGAUUACUUACUACCUACGGUAAAACCUGUCGCUUUAAAAUGGGAGAAUAUUAUUUAAUACUAUAUUAUAUGUUGUUAUACUUGUAACCUCAAACACUAUUUUACUGAUACUUGUAUACAUUUUUUUUGUGUUCACCUACCUUAGGUAGGAAAAAUAAUCUACCUACAUGACAGAAUGUCAUAAAAAUUUCGUGGCUGAUUGUGUACUAUCAGUACACUAAAAGUUUGUGGAUAGAUAUGAGAAACCGACUUAGGUGACUCAUAGCUGUAUAUUUCUGAGAAUAGAUAGCUCUAAUAGCUACACUUCUUUUGAAGAUUAAGGUCCUACUUUUCAGCAUUAGUUAGUGACGUCAAAACUACAGCUGUAAUCAAGGCAGAGCUUUGACGUCACUCCGCUAUCACUGAAACGGAAGUUUUUGUAUGUACGAGUAUUAACCCUUUCGCGGUUGACGAGGUUCCCCGGUACGCAAAAUCUGAUUAUUUUGUCACAAGGCAUGCCGCCGAGGUUACAAAACAGAGAAAAAAAUCAUCAAAAAAUGAAAAAUUCAAAUCGCAAAAGGGUAAAUUUGAAAAAACAAUUUUGCUCAUAUUUGAUUAGAGAAAUGAGCGAUGUAAUGAAAAAAACAGUGUAAAUUAUCAAGUUACAGAAACUGAAAAUAGAAAUUAUAACAGACACAUUAAAAAUAUGAACCUAAGGUUAAUAAAUUUUAAGGAAGGGAAAAAAAUUAAAAAUUGAAAAAAAGGUCAAGUCGCAUUUCCUAAAAUUACCAAUAUCUAAAGGACCAGAAAUCACAGUCUGGUGAAAAAUGAAUAUUAAAAAUAAGAAUUUAUGUCACCAAGAGAGCUUUUUUCAUGAAGUUGAUAAAUCGCAUCGCAUAUCCAACACUACGAAAAAAUUGAAAUUCUAAUUGACAAAUCAAAACAAUCCUGAAAAUUGACUCAAUCUAACACUUUCUGAGUUCAACAUCUUGCAGUUGUUCAAAUACCAUACGAUUUUCAGACACCCUAUAGAACGCAUAAACCAGUCGCAAAUCAACACAGUAAAUCCAAAAAACCAUUGGCUAUACAAGAAACAUAAUCAAUUUGCAAAUUAAUUGUCUGUAUCCGACUACAGUCUACGUUAUGCACACCCCAUCUGGCGAUUUUCUAACGCAUUUUGUCACGUUGCAUCCCCAAACCAUCAGAUAAAAAUUACUAAAUUAAAAACCACAUUGCAAAUUUCUGUCAGUAGUAUUUUAUGAGAUUUUUGACUUGGCCAGAUAAAAACCUCAUCAAUGUAGAGUAAAAAAAUGCCUAUGGCUAAAUACUAGUUUCUCUUUUGCACACCCUGUCUGGUGAUUUUCUGAUGCAUUUUCAAUUGUGUCAUGUUGCAUCACAAAAUAAUCAGAUAAAACUUAAGGUAUUGAAAUUGAAACCGCAUCACGAAUGUCAGCGAAUAGCAGUUUGAGAUUUUUGACUUAGCCAAAUAGAAAACUCAUUGAAAAAAAAGAAGACUAUAAGAGGGAGAUGCCGCCAGUUCACUGAAAUUAACACAUUAGUCAUCAUAAUAGGUAUGUGAUCUGUCACGAGAAAACCAGGUUAGUGUCCAAAACGUAAAUUUUACAGGACGGGCAUUUGAAGUUUGAAUCUAUGUGUUUGGGGAUCUAUGAUUCCUAGGACCGUGAAACUUGGACCACUUUUGGUCACAAGGGGUGCCAACAUAACCUGACAUUUUUUUUCAAAAUCAGGGUUGCCAAAGGCCGAUAAUCGAAAUUUCCCCAAAUCGCUUUUGUCAGUUUUUGUCAAUUUCACGCCAAAAAUUUCGCGAAAACUACUAAGAAUGAAUUAUUAAUAUAAUGUUAAAUAGAUAUAUAGAGGCGUUGCGUACGUUGGGAGGAUAAGAAUAUUUCCCUAGUAGGUCAGGAUGAAUCUAACUCCCUAAGAGAUGUAAUAUAUCACCUUUUAAAAUAGUACUUACCCGCUGCUAGCUCAGCUUUUACAACACCAAUAUGUAUAAAUUUAAACAGAUUUAGUCGAGUUUACCUUGUAUUAAUUCGAACCGCACGCGAAAUAAGAACACACGAUAAACACGAAAAGUGUAUUAUAAUUUUGGAAUAAAAUUACAACACGAAACUUAAGUCUAAAACAUAUAAAACUCUACGCGUAUAACCAAUAUAUAUUCCACCAAAUAGUGGCGUAAGUAGGAUCGCUUUUACCCACCUACGUGUAACUAUCAAAUUGCCCGCGUUGGGUAGCGAAUUUAGGACUUAAGUUUAAACGCGAAUACUCUCCCUUAAACACGAACGUUAAGGCAGAGGACCUGGGACUCAAGCACAACUCUUACGUAGGAGUGAGUGGCCUUAUUACUUUUCCGCGGUCAGACCUACCAGACGAAGCGCGAAUCGACAAGUGAAGAUCAAUUCCAUCUCAACUUGGCUUCUAGCCUCGAGUCGAGAAGGAAUUGAGCUUUACGAACUUGUGAGCUUUUCACAUCUGCCCUUAAUGGAACGAUGUGAAAACACCUCUUGGGUGGUUCCCACGUACUUAACACCUUACCUAAGUGCAUCGAGUAUAUGCUUUCAUCUACGUAAAGUACUGUAGAAUCGAACUAUUGAUUGGAUUCUCCAGUACUUCCUUUAGAUGAAAGAUUUAUAAUCCCACUGAGAGAGAUACGAUGAAUAUCCCUGUCUAGCCAGUGAAGGCAUAUUGUCCCCUUACAUUUGCCCCUAACGUGGGUUUACUUCUAAAGUAUCCCCUGAGGAAAUGUAGAGGAAAGCACGGAAAUUUUGAAAAAAGGUGACAUUGUGCUUCACUGGAUGUGACCCUAUUGCCCCCCGUACUUUGCUUGAGUGAUGCGGGGAAUAGUAAUCCCAAAAUAAAUUUUGAAACUCUUUGGUUUUUAUUAUAAUUCCAAAAGUGAGGUGGAUUUUGAGUGUGCUGGUGAGUUGACUCUUAUUGAUAAAGAGUAACUACAAUUGACCAUCAAUAUUUGACCGAAGUCAAGAUAUCAAUAAAUCAAUCCAGAAGCUACCUUUGAUCUGGUCACUCCGCAGCAGGGUCAUGGCCGAAAUGGUAAGUAUUUAAGUACGAUUUAAUUUUUGAGGGGGAGGGUUAAUCUAAAAGGUACCCUUCCUCAAUUUUAUGAUUUCAGGAGAAGAUGAAAAAAGCUCAAGAAGUUCGUGGUUGUUUGGCUUUGUUGUCUUUGGAUAGUCUGACCAAGAAUUUUUGAAGAAAAAAUUGCUGGUGUAUUUUGGUCAACGACGAUGGCAAGAGAAUUACUUUGUUUAUCAAAAACUAAAGAUAAGUACAAAAACAUAUUUACAUUUUUAUUAAAUAAUGUAAAAGUUAAGAGCAUUUUUGUUUCUUAGGAUUAAUCAGUCUAAUUUAAACACAUGAUCGAUUUAAAAUAUCUGUACAUUUUUUAUUUCUAAAAAAAAUUUUAAAGUUAUGAAAUAAAUUAAAUAAAAAAUGUUGUUUUUGUUUAGGACCAGUUCAGAGAAAGAUGGGUGAAACUUAAAAUAGGAUUGAGCCAAAGUUGAACCAGUCUGUUGGGAUAUUUUUCGUAUUUACAAUAAGUAAGAAGGCAAAGAAGAUUUCCUUAACUAAUAAUGCACAGAUCCUUUUUCUUGGCUCAUGGACUUCUUUUCCAGGUUGUAUUUUCUUUUAGAAAAUAAUUUUAGAUAGAAAUUAAAAAUAAAAUUUGAGUAAACUUAUGCCAUUUUUGUUCCACAGGAAGACAAAGAUAGCUAGAUUUUUGAAAGGAAUGUUAUCCGUCUACAGUCUGAGUCAACAUGGCCUUCUGUGCCCUGAAUGUGAUAUCUUUGUUACAAAAUUAAAAAAAAUUAAAAAAAGAAUUUUAAAAAAAAAUAAAAUUAAAAUUUUUGUAAAUUUUUGGAGAAAA